rnacentral:rRNA from 1 species
GAUUGGUUACCUUGUUACGACUUCACCCCAGUCAUGAAUCACACCGUGGUAAUCGUCCCCCCUAAGGUUAGACUAACUACUUCUGGUGCAACCCACUCCCAUGGUGUGACGGGCGGUGUGUACAAGGCCCGGGAACGUAUUCACCGCAACAUUCUGAUUUGCGAUUACUAGCGAUUCCGACUUCACGGAGUCGAGUUGCAGACUCCGAUCCGGACUACGACGUACUUUUUGGGUUCCGCUUGCUCUCGCGAGGUCGCUUCCCUCUGUAUACGCCAUUGUAGCACGUGUGUAGCCCUGGCCGUUAGGGCCAUGAUGACUUGACGUCAUUCCCCACCUUCCUCCGGUUUAUCACCGGCAGUCUUCCCUUUGAGUUCCCGGCUUUACCCGCUGGCAACAAAGGAUAGGGGUUGCCGCUCGUUGCGGGACCUUAACCCAACAUUCUUACGACACGAGCCUGACGACAGCCAUGCAGACCUUGUGUUUUGAGUUUCCCCGAAGGGACCAAUCCAUCUUCUGGGAAAGUUUUCCACCUGUCAAGAUUACGUUAGGGUCUU